CGAAUGCUGACAUAAGUAACGAUAAAGCGGGUGAAAAGCCCGCUCGCCGGAAGACCAAGGGUUCCUGUCCAACGUUAAUCGGGGCAGGGUGAGUCGACCCCUAAGGCGAGGCCGAAAGGCGUAGUCGAUGGGAAACAGGUUAAUAUUCCUGUACUUGGUGUUACUGCGAAGGGGGGACGGAGAAGGCUAUGUUGGCCGGGCGACGGUUGUCCCGGUUUAAGCGUGUAGGCUGGUUUUCCAGGCAAAUCCGGAAAAUCAAGGCUGAGGCGUGAUGACGAGGCACUACGGUGCUGAAGCAACAAAUGCCCUGCUUCCAGGAAAAGCCUCUAAGCAUCAGGUAACAUCAAAUCGUACCCCAAACCGACACAGGUGGUCAGGUAGAGAAUACCAAGGCGCUUGAGAGAACUCGGGUGAAGGAACUAGGCAAAAUGGUGCCGUAACUUCGGGAGAAGGCACGCUGAUAUGUAGGUGAGGUCCCUCGCGGAUGGAGCUGAAAUCAGUCGAAGAUACCAGCUGGCUGCAACUGUUUAUUAAAAACACAGCACUGUGCAAACACGAAAGUGGACGUAUACGGUGUGACGCCUGCCCGGUGCCGGAAGGUUAAUUGAUGGGGUUAGCGCAAGCGAAG
rnacentral:rRNA from 1 species